GAUGAAGAACGUAGCGAAAUGCGAUACGUAAUGCGAAUUGCAGAAUUCCAGUGAGUCAUCGAAUCUUUGAACGCACAUUGCGCCCUUUGGUAUUCCGAAGGGCAUGCCUGUUCGAGCGUCAUUAUCACCCCUCAAGCCCCCGGCUUGGUGUUGGACGGUCGGUAGGACGUAUUCCUAUGUCCCACCCCUCCCAAAGACAAUGACGGCGGCCUCGUUGGACCCCCGGUACACUGAGUUCUUCACGGAGCACGUACUGGACAAGGGCUCGCGGGGCACGGUCUGCCUCCCCUUAGGGAGAAUUUUUAACAAGGUUGACCUCGGAUCAGGUAGGAAUACCCGCUGAACUUAAGCAUAUCAAUAAGCGGAGGA
rnacentral:misc_RNA from 1 species